rnacentral:tRNA from 1 species
AAGGAGGUUAAUCUACAGAAAGAUGUAGGGUUGUCAACCCUAAAAGGUUAUUAUUUAACACCUUCUUU